rnacentral:sRNA from 1 species
UGUCAAUGGAGAGACGCAUGAGGCGCGAU